AAAUUGAAGAGUUUGAUCAUGGCUCAGAUUGAACGCUGGCGGCAGGCCUAACACAUGCAAGUCGAGCGGAAACGACAUUAACAAUCCUUCGGGUGCGUUAAUGGGCGUCGAGCGGCGGACGGGUGAGUAAUGCCUAGGAAAUUGCCUUGAUGUGGGGGAUAACCAUUGGAAACGAUGGCUAAUACCGCAUAAUGCCUACGGGCCAAAGAGGGGGAUCUUCGGACCUCUCGCGUCAAGAUAUGCCUAGGUGGGAUUAGCUAGUUGGUGAGGUAAUGGCUCACCAAGGCGACGAUCCCUAGCUGGUCUGAGAGGAUGAUCAGCCACACUGGAACUGAGACACGGUCCAGACUCCUACGGGAGGCAGCAGUGGGGAAUAUUGCACAAUGGGCGAAAGCCUGAUGCAGCCAUGCCGCGUGUAUGAAGAAGGCCUUCGGGUUGUAAAGUACUUUCAGUUGUGAGGAAGGGGGUAACGUUAAUAGCGUUAUCUCUUGACGUUAGCAACAGAAGAAGCACCGGCUAACUCCGUGCCAGCAGCCGCGGUAAUACGGAGGGUGCGAGCGUUAAUCGGAAUUACUGGGCGUAAAGCGCAUGCAGGUGGUUCAUUAAGUCAGAU
rnacentral:rRNA from 1 species